rnacentral:rRNA from 1 species
UGGGGAAUAUUGGACAAUGGGCGCAAGCCUGAUCCAGCCAUGCCGCGUGAGUGAUGAAGGCCCUAGGGUUGUAAAGCUCUUUCACCGGUGAAGAUAAUGACGGUAACUGGAGAAGAAGCCCCGGCUAACUUCGUGCCAGCAGCCGCGGUAAUACGAAGGGGGCUAGCGUUGUUCGGAUUUACUGGGCGUAAAGCGCACGUAGGCGGACUUUUAAGUCAGGGGUGAAAUCCCGGGGCUCAACCCCGGAACUGCCUUUGAUACUGGAAGUCUUGAGUAUGGUAGAGGGGAGUGGAAAUCCGAGUGUAGAGGUGAAAAUCGUAGAUAUUCGGAGGAACACCAGUGGCGAAGGCGGCUCACUGGACCAUUACUGACGCUGAGGUGCGAAAGCGUGGGGAGCAAACAGG